rnacentral:rRNA from 1 species
UACGUAGGGUGCGAGCGUUGUCCGGAAUUAUUGGGCGUAAAGAGCUUGUAGGCGGUCUGUCGCGUCUGCUGUGAAAAUCCGGGGCUCAACCCCGGACUUGCAGUGGGUACGGGCAGACUAGAGUGUGGUAGGGGAGACUGGAAUUCCUGGUGUAGCGGUGAAAUGCGCAGAUAUCAGGAGGAACACCGGUGGCGAAGGCGGGUCUCUGGACAGUUCCUGACGCUGAGGCACGAAGGCCAGGGGAGCAAACGGG